rnacentral:lncRNA from 1 species
GCGGAUCUGCCCACGUUGAACGGCGCCGUUUUGUUUUAAGUAUAAAAAGAAAAAAAAUUCUGUUUUGUUUUAAAAAAUUUUAUUUUUUCUGUUUGAAAACAAAAAAAUAAGAAAAUGGAGUGCUAGGGUUUCUCUUAACUCAAACCCCCAGCCGCCGCAAUGGCUUAGAGCCUCCCUCCGGCCCCGAUUCAGGCAAAUCGACGCUUCUCUCCUCCACGCAGGUACGUAUCUCCUUCACUUUUCUCUUAUUAUUAUUAGUUUUUUAAAAAAAGGGGAAAAAAUCAAAAAAACAAACAAGAAAACAAUAAAAAAUGGAAAUCACCUUUCAAAAUCUUUCUUUUCUGUUUUUCCUUUUGUAUUUUCUUUUUAUUUUCAAUACCAAAAAAUUUUCUAACCAUAUUACAUAAAUCCAUUGGCUUUUUAUAGCCUAAAACCUCUUUACAAUUUGUUGUUGUAUAUUCAGUCAUUGCUACUGUUUGUGGUUCGUUGCAGGUGACGAACGUGCAUGGUGGGACGAGCGUUGUGCGGGGCGACGUGCGCGACAUGCGGGACGACGUGCGGGAAGCUGCUGCGGCGCCAGUUUGCUGCUGCAACACUAAGGCGAAGGGGCUAGGGUUCUUUGAUGGGUUUAUUGGGCUUGGUUAGGUUUAGUUUAAUGGGUAAUGGGUUUGGAUUUGAUGUAAUCUGGGCUUUAGGUUUAGUUGGGCCCAGGCCAAAAAAUUCGGUAUUACAACUACAUUACCUAAUUAAUUUCUUUCCAAGGCUCAUUUGGCUAAAUUUGUUUUUAGAAAUAAUGAUUUUUUUACGUACCAAUUUAAUAAAAAAAAGUUAUUUUAAUUAACCAUUUAAUUAUUCGAUUCUUCAAAUCUAGAAGUUAAGUUUCUUUUAUCCAAACAUCUUGAAAUUUUAAACACUUCACUGUGAAUCUCCACAUUUGUAAUUAAUUAAUUUUUAAUAUAUUUAUUUAACAAAAUUUUUAAAUAAUUCUAAGAAUUUUCUAUAUUUUAAAAAAUAAUUAAUUG